UAAAUUAAACACCUUUCUUACUGGAUUCAAGUUUUAAAGGCUUCUGAUGAUGAUGUCCAACCCUUAGAUACUGAUGAGCAGCAAACAGCAUAAAACCUGAAGAGGCUGCGAGUUACUCGCAGGCUGUUCUGGUUUUAUGCUGUUUGCACAUAGCCAUUGUUACUUUGCUUCUGAGUGGGAAAGGGUUAAAAUAUCACUUGAAAGCAGUUCAUUUGUGAAUUUUUACUUUAUAUACAAAUACACCUAAACCAUUUGGGGCAAACAACUAUUUUUUGGAAGGCAUAUCAUUGAACUGAAAUAAAAACAUACUUCAUAUGAGCUGUGCUUUAGCAAAACCUGUUUUAUGCAUGCGCUUUAAGUAUUGUCCCAGACUUGCCGGUUUAGUUUGCGCAGGCUAAUAAGGGAUGACGCUUAACUCUUGACUGGAAUUUCAGCUUUAAAGGAAGUGGCCUUUAAAUGAAAGUCCAGUCUAGGUGUAAAGUGUCAUCCCUGAUUAGUCUAGGUGUAAAGUGUCAUCCCUGAUUAGUCCAGGUGUAAAGUGUCAUCCCUGAUUAGUCUAGGCGUAAAGUGUCAUCCCUGAUUAGUCUAGGUGUAAAGUGUCAUCCCUGAUUAGUCUAGGUGUAAAGUGUCAUCCCUGAUUAGUCUAUGUGUAAAGUGUCAUCCCUGAUUAGUCUAGGUGUAUAGUGUCAUCCCUGAUUAGUCUAGGUGUAAAGUGUCAUCCCUGAUUAGUCUAGGUGUAAAGUGUCAUCCCUGAUUAGUCUAUGUGUAAAGUGUCAUCCCUGAUUAGUCUAGGUGUAAAGUGUCAUCCCUGAUUAGUCUAGGUGUAAAGUGUCAUCCCUGAUUAGUCUAGGUGUAAAGUGUCAUCCCUGAUUAGUCUUGGUGUAAAGUGUCAUCCCUGAUUAGUCUUGGUGUAAAGUGUCAUCCCUGAUUAGUCUUGGUGUAAAGUGUCAUCCCUGAUUAGUCUUGGUGUAAAGUGUCAUCCCUGAUUAGUCUGUUCAUACUGCUCAGGCUAAUCUUGGACAACACUCCACGCACAUGCAUUUGGCGCGUUUUGCCAACAGUGUUUCUCUCUUGUUAAACCAUC